UAUUUUAAAAAUAAGUUAAUAAAAAACAUUAUUAAAAAGAUAAAACUCGUGGGAAUGGGGAUGGGAAGCUUUCCCCAACUUCGUCCGAUUAACAUCUUACUUUCAAUUAUACAAUAUACUUACCUCUCUCCAUAACCAUUAAAAUUUGGGGAGCAGACAACAAAGGAAUUUUUUCAGUGAAGAGAGCUUAUCAUCUAGGGAUGCAAAAGCAUGACAACCAGAUGGCCACCUCCUCUAAUUCGCAUCAGCAAGCUAAACGUUGGAAGCGACUUUGGAAGACAUCUGUAGCCCCAAAAAUCAAGAUUGCGUGCUUGGAAGAAUUUUGACUUCCAACUUUUCUGGGAUUGUCGGUAUUGGGGAUCACUGGGACUGGCUUCUGGACAACGCAAACACGGAAGAGUUAGAGGUUUCGAUGAUAUGCUCGUGGGUGAUUUGGAAUUUCAGAAAUAACGUGGUGUUCAAAAGGGAGCAGCCUAGACUUUGGUGAUGAUUCAACAGGCCAAAAAAUUCAUCUCAGAAUUCAAUAAUAGUCAAUUUGCAACUUCAACAGACAACACAAGCAGCAAGACUCAUAUGUACAGAAGGAAUUCUAAGGAAAAUUCAAAAUGGGUACCACCCCCAUUACAUACCUGGACUCUAAAUACCGACGCCUCUUGGUCUUCUUCUCACCAAUUGGGCGGGUUAGGAUGGGUGGUGCGAAGCUGGACGGGAGAGGUCAUCUACGCCGGAAAUAAGGUGGUCGAUAACUGCUGGAGCGUGAAAAUGCUAGAGAUGGAAGCAGUGCUGGAGGGGCUUCGUUGGCUGGAAAAUCGACCGACGCCGUUCCCGAUCUGUGAUUCAAUUGAGGUGGCCCAGAUUUUGAAUGAGCAAGUCGACGAUUUUUCCGAAAUCCAAUGGUUGGUUGACGAAAUCAAGAGAUUGAAGGAGUUAAAGUGAGUAGGGAUGCUAAUGUUUGGGCACAUUCUGUUCUGUUGCGAGGAGGGUUUUGGAGGAAAAGGAAAGUGAGAGUUGGGACCGUUGUUUUCCCAGUUGGCUAACUUGCUUGGCCAAUCAGGACUUUUGCUCUUUUUAAUAAAGUAUUUUCUUCUUAAAAAAAAA